AUAGUUACCUGGCAGGGGAGAUACCAUGAUCUAGAGGGUGGUUCACCCAGGGCGAGGCUCGGUCAUUGCACUCCGAUUGAGCUGACCUCUGCUAAUUCCCCAAAUGUGGGAAUCUCAACUGCAUAAUCUUUUUUAGGGCGGCAGUAGCUCAGUCCAUA